GACGAACGCUGGCGGCGUGCUUAACACAUGCAAGUCGAACGGUGAACCUGCUUCGGUGGGGGGAUCAGUGGCGAACGGGUGAGUAACACGUGGGCAACCUGCCCUCAGCUCUGGGAUAACUCCAAGAAAUUGGGGCUAAUACCGGAUAUGUCCGCUGACCGCAUGGUCUGGUGGUGGAAAGAUUUAUCGGCUGGGGAUGGGCCCGCGGCCUAUCAGCUUGUUGGUGGGGUAGUGGCCUAUCAAGGCGACGACGGGUAGCCGGCCUGAGAGGGUGACCGGCCACACUGGGACUGAGACACGGCCCAGACUCCUACGGGAGGCAGCAGUGGGGAAUCUUGCGCAAUGGGCGAAAGCCUGACGCAGCGACGCCGCGUGA
rnacentral:rRNA from 1 species